AUCAAUUGUCGCGCGAUGAAUUGUGCGCGAGGAAUUGAAGCGGUACCAUUUUUUUAAUGAACUGGAAUUUACACAGCGAUUAUGUACAAAAUAAAUCUGACUGGAAGGGAUUUGAUAGACCUUACUUCUCCCAUUGUCUGGACAUAACUCUGCCUGCUCCCGACGGUGGUUUCCAUUUAAAGAGUCUUGCGAUCCUUCUCGAAACGCCUCGGUCACCGCUUCUAGACUUGUCUGGAGCACCCAUUGCGACUUACGCUUCCAGGCUCUUCUCCGGCCGCCGUCACCGACAAUGAGCCAUCAUCGCCUAUCAAGAGAACCACCUGGCACUCCUUCUGAAGUCCAUAUUUCGAUGUCAGAACCUACUGAAGGUGAUUGCUGUGUUCC